CGCGGUAACACGUAGGAGGCGAACGUUAUCCGGAUUUACUGGGCGUAAAGCGCGUGUAGGUGGUACUGUAAGUAGGGCGUGAAAGCUCCUGGCUCAACUGGGAGAGGCCGUUCUAAACUACAGAACUAGAGGAUGGUAGAGGGAGGUGGAAUUCCAGGUGUAGCGGUGGAAUGCGCAGAUAUCUGGAGGAACACCGGUGGCGAAGGCGGCCUCCUGGACCAUUCCUGACACUCAGACGCGAAAGCUAGGGUAGCAAACGG
rnacentral:rRNA from 1 species